rnacentral:rRNA from 1 species
AGAGUUUGAUCAUGGCUCAGGACGAACGCUGGCGGCGUGCUUAACACAUGCAAGUCGAACGAUGAUGCUCCAGCUUGCUGGAGCGGAAGAGUGGCGAACGGGUGAGUAACACGUGAGUAACCUGCCCUUAACUCUGGGAUAAGCGCUGGAAACGGCGUCUAAUACUGGAUAUGAGCAAUAAUCGCAUGGUUGUUGUUGGAAAGAUUUAUCGGUUUUGGAUGGACUCGCGGCCUAUCAGCUUGUUGGUGAGGUAAUGGCUCACCAAGGCGACGACGGGUAGCCGGCCUGAGAGGGUGACCGGCCACACUGGGACUGAGACACGGCCCAGACUCCUACGGGAGGCAGCAGUGGGGAAUAUUGCACAAUGGGCGAAAGCCUGAUGCAGCAACGCCGCGUGAGGGACGAAGGCCUUCGGGUUGUAAACCUCUUUUAGUAGGGAAGAAGCGAAAGUGACGGUACCUGCAGAAAAAGCACCGGCUAACUACGUGCCAGCAGCCGCGGUAAUACGUAGGGUGCAAGCGUUGUCCGGAAUUAUUGGGCGUAAAGAGCUCGUAGGCGGCUUGUCGCGUCUGCUGUGAAAUCCCGAGGCUCAACCUCGGGCGUGCAGUGGGUACGGGCAGGCUAGAGUGCGGUAGGGGAGAUUGGAAUUCCUGGUGUAGCGGUGGAAUGCGCAGAUAUCAGGAGGAACACCAAUGGCGAAGGCAGAUCUCUGGGCCGCUACUGACGCUGAGGAGCGAAAGCAUGGGGAGCGAACAGGAU